GCGGAUCAUGCGGUACCAUAGC
rnacentral:miRNA from 14 species